rnacentral:rRNA from 1 species
GUGAAAUUCCGUCGGAAUCUGGGAGGACCAUCUCCUAAGGCUAAAUACUCUCUAGUGACCGAUAGUGAACCAGUACCGUGAGGGAAAGGUGAAAAGCACCCCGGAAGGGGAGUGAAAUAGAACCUGAAACCGUGUGCUUACAAGUAGUCAGAGCCCGUUAAUGGGUGAUGGCGUGCCUUUUGUAGAAUGAACCGGCGAGUUACGAUUUGAUGCAAGGUUAAGCAGUAAAUGUGGAGCCGUAGCGAAAGCGAGUCUGAAUAGGGCGUUUAGUAUUUGGUCGUAGACCCGAAACCAGGUGAUCUACCCUUGGUCAGGUUGAAGUUCAGGUAACACUGAAUGGAGGACCGAACCGACUUACGUUGAAAAGUGAGCGGAUGAACUGAGGGUAGCGGAGAAAUUCCAAUCGAACCUGGAGAUAGCUGGUUCUCUCCGAAAUAGCUUUAGGGCUAGCCUCAAGUGAUGAUUAUUGGAGGUAGAGCACUGUUUGGACGAGGGGCCCCUCUCGGGUUACCGAAUUCAGACAAACUCCGAAUGCCAAUUAAUUUAACUUGGGAGUCAGAACAUGGGUGAUAAGGUCCGUGUUCGAAAGGGAAACAGCCCAGACCACCAGCUAAGGUCCCAAAAUAUAUGUUAAGUGGAAAAGGAUGUGGCGUUGCCCAGACAACUAGGAUGUUGGCUUAGAAGCAGCCAUCAUUUAAAGAGUGCGUAAUAGCUCACUAGUCGAGUGACACUGCGCCGA